rnacentral:rRNA from 1 species
CAGGACGAACGCUGGCGGCAUGCCUAACACAUGCAAGUCGAACGCGAACGGGGCUUCGGCCCCAAGUAGAGUGGCGCACGGGUGAGUAACGCGUGGACAAUCUGCCCUUAUGACUGGAAUAACAGUUGGAAACGGCUGCUAAUACCGGAUACGCUCAGGAAGAACUUUUUUGAGGAAAGGCGGCCUCUGCUUGCAAGCUGUCGCAUAAGGAUGAGUCCGCGUCCCAUUAGCUAGUUGGCGGGUAACGGCCCACCAAGGCAACGAUGGGUAGCCGAUUUGAGAGGAUGAUCGGCCACACUGGGACUGAAACACGGCCCAGACUCCUACGGGAGGCAGCAGUGGGGAAUAUUGCGCAAUGGGCGAAAGCCUGGCGCAGCGACGCCGCGUGAGGGAUGAAGGUUUUCGGAUCGUAAACCUCUGUCAGAAGGGAAGAAACUGCCGUGCUCUAAUCAUCAUGGCAUUGACGGUACCUUCAAAGGAAGCACCGGCUAACUCCGUGCCAGCCGCUGC